rnacentral:lncRNA from 1 species
GCCAUAAUAGAUAGGCUUUAUCACUCACUGCUGGCAAGUUGAUAUCCAGAGAGGGAGGAUGUCCUCCCGGAUGAAGGCUGCCUGCAACACAAAUAACUGUGCCAUCAGUCGAGUUUAUUAAUGUAGCACUUGAUCACAAGAGCAUGAUUUAAACGCAGAGGCUUGCUUGCUCUGACUUGUCCACAGAUAUUUUUAUUUCACAGCCCAACUGGAUAAUUAUCAGGAAGGACGUGUGUGUGUGUGUGUGUGUGUGUGUGUGUGUGUGUGUGUGUGUGUGUGUGUGUGUGCAGUCAGGUAGGAUGAAGUUUAAAUGUCUGAAGAGAUAAAAUAAUUGUUUAGGUUAAACGAUUUGAAGCUACACGUUUAAAAUGGAGCUCGGAUUAUUCAUUUUCAUGCUCAACGCAGAUAUUCAGAGGUGGAGGCAGUAAUGACAUUAAGUUUUUAAUACUGGAGGGAGAAUCUGGAGCAAUGCCUACGAUGCAAGGUCAGGUUUUCUACAAUGUCUUCACAGGCGCCUCUGACACAGGGACACAACGCAUCAACGCAGAGGUGACUGCAGGGAGACUCUAUUUCCCCCAGAAAUGGCGAGUUCUAUCCUUCACGCCGGUCUCCUCUACUCGUCUGGAGACGCUGUUAGCGGGCGAGAAUGCCAAGCUCUAUUAGUGUCCCAGCACGCACUGCACUAAAGUCUUCACCUUGGCAUGGAGGAGACACAGCAGAGCGGCGCAGGGAUCGGACAACUUAAAGCAGGAGGUCCGGGCCCCGCUGGAGGUGAGGUAAGGAGAGGCGGUUAACUCUUCAGUCACACAGUCGAGCUGUGCUGGCAAAAGGAGAUUACGGCCAGCUGGCAGUGUCUUAAGGGUCAGCCGAGUUUCACACCGCAGCACCAUCUCCAUUAAUGAGACCUGAUGGAGAGCAAAGACUUCCUGCAGGAGCUCUACACGGCAUUAUCUUUAGCUACCACCACCACCACCACCUCCUUACAUUAGCUUUCUCAUUAGCUCCGCCAUUAGAUCCCACAUUAGCAGAGGGCCCAUAUAACUGCCUGGGUGCUUUGUGAAGCUACAUGACAGCAGCAGGAGAGAAACACAACGGAGAGCUUGUUCCUUACCGAUGAAAUUAUCUGUGGAAAGAAUUAAAUAGUAAGAAAAGAAAUGACCCAGAGAAAAUGUUGGGCUCUCAUUUUUUUUUUUAGAAAAAACACAAUUCAGCAUUAAAAGCUGUUGUAUGAUGUUAAGGUAAAAUUAACGCUGGGAAGAUGAGUUAAAGAGAUCUGUUAACAUACUGUAGCACAUACGAUAAUAAGAAACCACAAGGUCACAAAAUAAAUACAUCAGACAUUCUUAUUUUGGCUUGUUU